AUUAUUAUUAUUUUUUGUUUCCCCCUACUAAAGAGCAUUAGGGUUUUAGUGUUACUGAUCCUUUCUUGUCUUGCUCAAUUCCGGCUUUGUUUCGGCCGACACAGAGAAAAAUAGGUGAUGUGCGAGUUGCUGAAGCAAGUGCACGCGCAUCCACUGGCCACUGCAGCGUGCGUUAGCAAGUGGCAGUGGCAUUGGACUUACAUCGGCUGCGGCAACCAACAGCUAGCCUUCAGUGGUCGUUCGCCUCCGUUUGGCCUCUGCUGCCGCAAGGCCUUUUCCUCCGCAACCGCCAUUUGGUGAUUCCACGAAAUCCACCACCACCAAAACUCGUUGGGGGAAGGAUAAGAAAAGCAAAGGCUCAUCUCUCUCCGUGGAGAAACCAGACAACAUUUUGAUUUCAACAAAUGGCAUGUUCUCCGAAGGCUUUUACCCUGUAGAUGAUAAUGCAUAUUGUUUGGCAAUAUGGUUCAGUCGAGCAUUGUUCUGUGGGAGUCAUAUUGUGGUUUGGACAGCCAAUCGAGAUUUAACCAGUUAAUUGGAGACUUUCAAAUCUCUCCCUACUAAUCUUAUCUUAACAUAUGCUUACCGUUUCACUCUUUGGGCCAUGAAAACUGUUUCAGUCUAUUUGGUGCAAUUGCAACUUUGUGACACUGGUAAUCUUGUUCUUCAUACCUUGGAGGUUAAAAUUCUUUCGAGAAUGCUUUGAUUCACAAAUAGAUACUCUUCUUCCUCAAUAACUGCUCAUCAAAAAUACAAUACUUGUUUCAGCAAGAAGCCAAACAAGUUAUUGUUAUUCUUCUGGUUUUCACGAGUUAUUCGUCAAUGAGGAUAAUGUUCUCCAACUACUUGUCUUUGAUGGCGUUGAAACAUCCGGAGGUUAUUGGCAUGUCCCAGGACUGCAACCAUAUGAAGGUGGAAGGUCCACCUACAGACUACAGUUACAAUAGAACUUCAGUAGAUUCCUUCAGCAAUUUCAAGUCGUCCUAUGAUUUUGGUGUUCUCUUCUGCUGAUGGGCAAAGGGCCUAAGAGAAUUGAUUGUUGAUGCUGACGAAACAUUACGGAGUGGUCUGCACUUAUGCUGUUGAUAGCGGUAGGAGAUGCAAUUGCAUAGUGAGGUAGAAUAUGGAGAAAUCACGGAUUGGUCUUAUGAUUGUACACAAUGAUGAGGUUGUUUCCAUCCAACUCUCUCAUGUUGAGUUCCAUGUCUAUGGUAUUCGGUACUCCUCAAAUCCCAAAUCACACCUUUGAAAUUGUUUUUGGUACUACAAAUUGGCUAUUUUAUUCACAUGAAGAGUGCUGGGAAUGGGUUUUUACACUUCAUGUGAAGCCUCAGAACAUACUCUUGUACUACAAUUACCACCCAAUAGUGGAAGAUUCUUGUGUGUCUGAAUAGAGGUUACACUGGUACUGUCCGCGACUCCACACCACGGUCACUUUGGUGGGGGAGAAAUGCAUUGGAACUUGAGGAAAUGCAUCAUGGAUCAAAGAAACCAUACUAUACCAUGGAUGGUGAAUAUGGCAAGAUGGAGCUUCUUGAAAUGUGCAGAGGAAAACAGAAAUGCAAGACCCACCGUGAGUAAGUCGUGGAUGUACUUCUGCGUCAUAUAUGUAAGCGAUGACUUCUAAAAAGAGUCAUUGUACGUUAAUCCUUGGAUCAUGUUUGGCAUUUUGUAAAUUUUUGUUUGUUGAUCAUUUUUAAUAUUGUUAUUUUAUUAUCUUCUCUGUAAUUCGGUCUGCUAGGCCUUUUGCUGCAUUUGUAGUUUUUUGGCCGAGUUUAUCAUAUCUAUUUAAGUAUUUAUGGUGUAUAAAUGCCACUUAGCUGCUAUUAUGAAACUUGCAAUAAAGGCACAUAUGACAAAACCCAUCUUGACACUGUCAUCAUGUGAAAUUGUAAUAAUUUUGUUUUAUUUUAUUUUGUAAUAAAUUGACAAAUUUAACCGUUGUUUGGG